GGCAGUGUGGCUCAAUGGUAGAGCUCUUGCCUACCAAGCACAAAGCCCUGAGGUCAAACCCCACUACUGCCA
rnacentral:tRNA from 1 species